rnacentral:rRNA from 1 species
GUGGGGAAUCUUGCACAAUGGGCGAAAGCCUGAUGCAGCCAUGCCGCGUGAGUGAUGAAGGCCUUCGGGUUGUAAAGCUCUUUAGCCGAUGAUUAUAAUGACUGUAGUCGGAAAAUAAGCCCCGGCUAACUUCGUGCCAGCAGCCGCGGUAAUACGAAGGGGGCGAGCGUUAUUCGGAAUCACUGGGCGUAAAGCGUGCGUAGGCGGCUUUGCAAGUUGGGAGUGAAAGCCCAGGGCUCAACCCUGGAAUUGCUCUCAAAACUGCAAGGCUCGAAUUCGGGAGAGGAUAGCGGAAUUGUCAGUGUAGCAGUGAAAUGCGUAGAUAUUGACAGGAACACCAGUGGCGUAAGCGGCUAUCUGGACCGAUAUUGACGCUGAGGCACGAAAGCGUGGGGAUCAAACAGGAUUAGAAACCCCAGUAGUCC